GGCGGACGGGUGAGUAACGCGUGAGGAACCUGCCUUUCAGAGGGGGACAACAGUUGGAAACGACUGCUAAUACCGCAUGACACAUAGGUGUCGCAUGGCACUUAUGUCAAAGAUUUAUCGCUGAAAGAUGGCCUCGCGUCUGAUUAGCUAGUUGGUGAGGUAACGGCCCACCAAGGCGACGAUCAGUAGCCGGACUGAGAGGUUGAACGGCCACAUUGGGACUGAGAUACGGCCCAGACUCCUACGGGAGGCAGCAGUGGGGAAUAUUGGGCAAUGGGCGCAAGCCUGACCCAGCAACGCCGCGUGAAGGAAGAAGGCUUUCGGGUUGUAAACUUCUUUUGUCAGGGACGAGUAGAAGACGGUACCUGACGAAUAAGCCACGGCUAACUACGUGCCAGCAGCCGCGGUAAUACGUAGGUGGCAAGCGUUGUCCGGAUUUACUGGGUGUAAAGGGCGUGUAGCCGGGAGGGCAAGUCAGAUGUGAAAUCCACGGGCUCAACUCGUGAACUGCAUUUGAAACUACUCUUCUUGAGUAUCGGAGAGGCAAUCGGAAUUCCUAGUGUAGCGG
rnacentral:rRNA from 1 species